rnacentral:rRNA from 1 species
AUACGGAGGUUGCAAGCGUUACUCGGAAUCACUGGGCGUAAAGCGCGCGCAGGCGGUCUUUUAAGUUGGAUGUGAAAGCCUACGGCUCAACCGUAGAACUGCAUCCAAAACUAUUAGACUAGAGUGUGGGAGAGGAAGAUGGAAUUAGUUGUGUAGGGGUAAAAUCCGUAGAGAUAACUAGGAAUACCAAAAGCGAAGGCAAUCUUCUGGAACACUACUGACGCUGAGGCGCGAAAGCGUGGGGAGCAAACAGGAUUAGAUACCCCGGUAGUCC